rnacentral:rRNA from 1 species
UUGACGCAGAGUCUGAGUCUCUCGGGAAAUGCGUAGGCUACGCCGGGGUAAUGGGGUAUUAUACCGUUCAUGAAUAAAGAAUAGCUUCCUUAGGUGACGGUAGAAAGAAUAGGACGUGCGGAAGGAAUUAUGUGGGUACAUAGACGUUUUCCGUUAUGUGUUGUUUAUACUGGGGUAGACGACGACGUCUCGCGUUCGAGUAGAGAGGGUAUCUUAGAGAACGAUUAUGUGUUCCAUUCAUAAUUGACGGACGGACGGAACCGACCCGACCAUACUCAUUUUCGAGAGCUAUAAGGUCUACAGUUUUCUAAAAUAGGGAGACCGCGUCCACGAGAGUGCGUCGUUUGUUUUUAGUUAAAUUUAGCGCCACAUGCGGCAAUUGUGAAAGGAUUAAUGAGGGAAGCAGGGUUUUAAGAACAGAAUCUAAACAGAUUUAUGCCUACAUAGUUUAGUGCAAAAUCAUAAUCUAUAUAGGCAUAUAUCUGCUUAGAUUCUGUUCUUAAAACCCUGCCUCCCUCAUUAAAAAAUCGGUUAGAAAGGAUUAAUUAAUUAGUAAUAGUAAACGGUUUCAAACGACGUUCGGACGCUUAUAUAUAUAGGGAGCCGUGGAUCGACGAGAAAGGCUUCGUGGCCUGGCUUGUUUCCGUCUGUGAGCAUAAACAAAUUCCAACCACGGCCCGCUCCAGCUAUCUCCGCCUCUUCUUCCGCCGGUACCUCCUCCGCUCUCCCUUCGUCUGCUGCCUCCCCCACCGGCGGCUACACUCGGACUUCCUAGACAGGUCCUCCGAGCUGCUGAAGCGGUUCCUCUCCCUGACCCUCGUCGUGGUGUCGGGUUCCUUGGAAGACGAGCGGUACCAGCCGCUCCAGCCCCUCGAUAGCCUCGACAAGUACACCUUUCCCCUCCACGUCUUCCCGAACGGCCCGACCCUCCUCUCCCUCUUCCUCGUGGAGGCGCUCCUCGAGAGGCUGCACGACGAGAUGGAGUAGGCCGAGAGACUGUACACGCCGCAGCUGGAGCCGCUGCGGCGGGACUUCUUCUAGCACUUCUUGCGGCAGUUCAUGGGCCGCGGCAGUUUCUCGCGGACUACUCGUUUGCGGAUUAUACUAGACGUCUCCGCAACAGAUGAAAAAAUCGUCAAACUACUUUUUCACUUCAACGCCGUUUGAACAGCAGCCAACCUAGUUCAAUUUAACACUAUCAAAGUAAAAACACCGCAUGCGCUCUGUUAUGUUCAAUGAUGGGACUUAAACGCGACCAGACACACCAAAAUAACGGACCCAUCUUACGGGCUUCGGACUUCACCAACGCCCCUUCUAUAUCAAUCCCGCACAAACCAACGGGCGUAGCUCGGGUUGGUCUGAGUACGCUACGUUGUAGAAAAACCUCUACCCGACAAACCAACGUGCGUAUAUAACAGCCCGGACGUAUCGUGCCAAGAAUUUCGUAGAGACCCAGACCGAGUAACUUUUGCAGACUUAGCUAUCAAAGAACGCCCGGUCCGGGCUCGCUACGAGAGCUCGCGUGCACCCACCGAACCGAGCAUGAGGGAGG